GAUGAACGCUAGCUACAGGCUUAACACAUGCAAGUCGAGGGGCAGCAUGGUCUUAGCUUGCUAAGGCCGAUGGCGACCGGCGCACGGGUGAGUAACACGUAUCCAACCUGCCGUCUACUCUUGGACAGCCUUCUGAAAGGAAGAUUAAUACAAGAUGGCAUCAUGAGUCCGCAUGUUCACAUGAUUAAAGGUAUUCCGGUAGACGAUGGGGAUGCGUUCCAUUAGAUAGUAGGCGGGGUAACGGCCCACCUAGUCUUCGAUGGAUAGGGGUUCUGAGAGGAAGGUCCCCCACAUUGGAACUGAGACACGGUCCAAACACCUACGGGAGGCAGCAGUGAGGAAUAUUGGUCAAUGGGCGCAGGCCUGAACCAGCCAAGUAGCGUGAAGGAUGACUGCCCUAUGGGUUGUAAACUUCUUUUAUAAAGGAAUAAAGUCGGGUAUGUAUACCCGUUUGCAUGUACUUGAUGAAUAAGGAUCGGCUAACUCCGUG
rnacentral:rRNA from 1 species